UUGGAGCGUGGGAACCUGGUGGGUAGUAGUCAAGCGAUGGGGUGACGCAGGAAGGUAGCUGAUCCCGGCCGGUGGUUGUGCCGGGGUAAGCGUGUAGGCCGGUGUGUAGGCAAAUCCGCACACCAUGAAGGCUGAGACGUGAUGCCGAGCCGAUUCAGGUGAAGUCAGUGAUCCUAUGCUGCCAGAAAAGCCUCUAGCGAGUUCUUAGCGGCCCGUACCCCAAACCGACACAGGUGGUCAGGUAGAGAAUACCAAGGCGACGGGCGAACUGUGGUUAAGGAACUCGGCAAAUUACCCCCGUAACUUCGGGAGAAGGGGGGCCGGACACGUGAAGCAACACGCUUGUGGAGCGUGGUAUGGCCGCAGAGACCAGGGGGAAGCGACUGUUUACUAAAAACACAGGUCCAUGCGAAGAAGUAAUUCGAUGUAUAUGGACUGACGCCUGCCCGGUGCUGGAACGUUAAGGGGACCUGUUAGCUCUUCGGGGCGAAGCGGAGAACUUAAGCGCCAGUAAACGGCGGUGGUAACUAUAACCAUCCUAAGGUAGCGAAAUUCCUUGUCGGGUAAGUUCCGACCUGCACGAAUGGCGUAACGACUUCCCUACUGUCUCAACCACAGGCCCGGCGAAAUUGCAGUACGAGUAAAGAUGCUCGUUACGCGCGGCAGGACGGAAAGACCCCGGGACCUUUACUAUAGCUUGACAUUGGUAUCUGAGUUAAUUUGUGUAGGAUAGGUGGGAGCCUGUGAAGCUCGUACGCCAGUACGGGUGGAGGCAAUCUUGAAAUACCACUCUGGUUGAUUCGGGUAUCUAACUUCGGACCGUGAUCCGGUUCAGGGACAGUGUCUGGUGGGUAGUUUAACUAGGGCGGUUGCCUCCUAAAGAGUAACGGAGGCGCCCAAAGGUUCCCUCAGCCUGGUUGGCAAUCAGGUGUUGAGUGUAAGUGCACAAGGGAGCUUGACUGUGAGACUGACAGGUCGAGCAGGGACGAAAGUCGGGACUAGUGAUCCGGCACCGGCAUGUGGAAGCGGUGUCGCUCAACGGAUAAAAGGUACCCCGGGGAUAACAGGCUGAUCUUCCCCAAGAGUCCAUAUCGACGGGAUGGUUUGGCACCUCGAUGUCGGCUCGUCGCAUCCUGGGGCUGUAGCAGGUCCCAAGGGUUGGGCUGUUCGCCCAUUAAAGCGGUACGCGAGCUGGGUUUAGAACGUCGUGAGACAGUUCGGUCCCUAUCCGCCGUGCGCGUAGGAUACUUGAGAAGGGCUGUCCCUAGUACGAGAGGACCGGGACGGACGAACCUCUGGUGUGCCAGUUGUCCCGCCAGGGGCACGGCUGGUUAGCUACGUUCGGAAGGGAUAACCGCUGAAAGCAUCUAAGCGGGAAGCUCGCUUCAAGAUGAGGUAUCCCACCCACACUUGUGUGGGGUAAGGCCCCCAGCUAGACCACUGGGUUGAUAGGCAGGAAAUGUAAGCCCGGUAACGGGUUCAGUUGACCUGUACUAAUAGGCCGAGGACUUGACCG
rnacentral:rRNA from 1 species